CUGGGGCAGAAGGUCUGAAGGGUGGAUACUCCCAGCCCACGGUGAGGGGAGCCGUAUCGUUGAAGGAGCCUUCCCUCAAGGAACAAAACAGAGACCAGUGCGAGAGGGUGUCUUGUCUGUCCUGCAGCAGUCUGACGUGUGUUUGCUUUGCAUCGCGUUUGCCUCUUGGGUACUGACGUCAUCAGAUCCAGAUUCUGCUGAUGCCUGGAAAGCAGCUCUGCUUGCAAACGUGAGCGCACUCUCGGCAAUCCAGUACCUGCGACAGACCAAGUGAAGAUGAGGAAGCCUCAACAGCGAGAUGCCAUUUCCAGUCUGGGUCCGUUCACAAAAUACAUCUAUUGCACUUCAAAUGUACAAUCAAAAAUAAGCGUGGCAGCCUUUCAAAGUGUGACAGAAAUUGGUAAAGUAUAUGUGUAUUUUUGAAAAAUAAAAGGGAACAUAUGUAAUGGGAGUCUGUUUGUAUUCAAUAUUGGGAUUAUUUGUCCUUGAAAUAGAAAAGGUACGUGCACACAUACAUUUCCAAAGGCACAUGCUUUCUUAAAUUUUCUUCCACUUAUGGUGUUCGGGGGACACAAGUGGGAUUGGGCCGAUCCUAGCUGAAUUUUAAGACUGGUACUGGCACACUGGACUGGUCACUCGUCAAUGAUUGGCCACAUGCAGAGAAACAAACAGUCACAUAUUACGACACAUAUUGGCAAUGGACCUUUCCGACGGUGAUCUUAAACUCCGCCCCCUUAGCCACGUCCCACAAGCUUACA